rnacentral:tRNA from 1 species
GGCUCGGUAGCUUAAUUGUAAAGCAAUCGCAUACAAGAGUCGUGGGUUAGAAUCCCACCUGAGCAC